rnacentral:rRNA from 1 species
GAUGAACGCUAGCGGCAGGCUUAACACAUGCAAGUCGAGGGGUAUUGGUUUUCGGACCAAGAGACCGGCGCACGGGUGCGUAACGCGUAUGCAAUCUACCUUUUGCAGAGGGAUAGCCCAGAGAAAUUUGGAUUAAUACCUCAUAGUAUAGUACUUUGGCAUCAAGGAACUAUUAAAGUCACAACGGCAAAAGAUGAGCAUGCGUCCCAUUAGCUAGUUGGUAAGGUAACGGCUUACCAAGGCUACGAUGGGUAGGGGUUCUGAGAGGGAGAUCCCCCCACACUGGUACUGAGACACGGACCAGACUCCUACGGGAGGCAGCAGUGAGGAAUAUUGGACCAAUGGGCGCAAGCCUGAUCCAGCCAUGCCGCGUGCAGGAUGACGGUCCUAUGGAUUGUAAACUGCUUUUUANACAGGAAGAAACACUCCGACGUGUCGGAGCUUGACGGUACUGUAAAGAAGUAAGGAUCGGACUAACUCCGUGCCAGCAGCGCGGUAA